rnacentral:rRNA from 1 species
GAUGAACGCUGGCGGCGUGCCUAAUACAUGCAAGUCGAGCGAACAGACGAGGAUCUUGCUCCUCUGACGUUAUCGGCGGACGUGUGAGUAACACGUGUAUAACCUACCUAUAAUACUUGUAUAACUUCGGGAAACCGGAGCUAAUACCGGAUAAUAUAUUGAACCGCAUUGUUCAAUAGUGAAAUACGGUUUUUCUGUCUCUUAUAGAUGGUUCCGCGCCGCAUUAGCUAGUUGUUAAGGUAACGGCUUACCAAGGCAACGAUGCGUAGCCGACGUGAGAGGGUGAUCGGCAAAACUGGAACAGAGACACGGUACAGAGAACUACGGGAGGAAGCAGUAGGGAAUCUUACGCAAUGGGCGAAAGCAUGACGGAGCAACGCCGAGUGAGUGAUGAAGGUCUUCGGAUCGUAAAACUCUGUUAUGAGGGAAGAACAAAUGUGUAAGUAAAUAUGCACGUAUUGACGGUAACUAAUCAGAAAGCAACGGCUAACUACGUG